rnacentral:lncRNA from 1 species
ACCCUCCCGCAUCAGCACCGGCUGGGUGGGUGCGGAGUGCGCCAGCGGCCAAGUCAAGACUCCUUGAAUGCUCAGGAAGGUGUGACUUGCAGAGGAGUUGAUUCCUUCUUAUGUACAUUUACUGGAGAAGUUUACAGCAGGAGACUGGGGUCUGAGACACACGCAUCUUUGGUGAGAGAAGAUGGGGAUGCAAGCUAGGUCCCCGUAUACGGCUAUGGGAGGGGACUGGUACCCCCACUCCAGUGCUCUUAAACAGUGAUCGGCUUUCCAGGAAGCUCUACAUUGUCAAUGAAAGGGCUGUUCUUUACACUUU